ACAACUUUCAACAAUGGAUCUCUUGGCUCUGGCAUCGAUGAAGAACGCAGCGAAAUGCGAUAAGUAGUGUGAAUUGCAGAAUUCCGUGAAUCAUCGAAUCUUUGAACGCACAUUGCGCCCCUCGGUAUUCCUUGGGGCAUGCCUGUUCGAGCGUCAUU
rnacentral:rRNA from 1 species